rnacentral:rRNA from 1 species
AGAGUUUGAUCAUGGCUCAGAAUCAACGCUGGCGGCGNNCCUAACACAUGCAAGUCGAACGAGAAAGUGGAGCAAUCCAUGAGUACAGUGGCGUACGGGUGAGUAACACGUGGGUAAUCUACUUCUUAGUGGGGAAUAACCAGGGGAAACUCUGGCUAAUACCGCAUAAGCCUGAGAAGGGAAAGCAGCAAUGCGCUGAGAGAGGAGCCCGCGGCCGAUUAGCUAGUUGGUGGGGUAAGAGCCCACCAAGGCAGAGAUCGGUAGCCGGCCUGAGAGGGCACACGGCCACACUGGCACUGAAACACGGGCCAGACUCCUACGGGAGGCAGCAGUGGGGAAUCUUGCACAAUGGGGGAAACCCUGAUGCAGCGACGCCGCGUGAGCGAUGAANNCCUUCGGGGUGUAAAGCUCUUUCGUCAGGGACGAUAAUGACGGUACCUGGAGAAGCAGCUGCGGCUAACUACGUGCCAGCAGCCGCGGUAAUACGUAGGCAGCAAGCGUUGUUCGGAGUUACUGGGCGUAAAGGGUGUGUAGGCGGUUCUUUAAGUUUGGUGUGAAAUCUCCCGGCUCAACUGGGAGGGUGCGCCGAAUACUGAGGGACUAGAGUACGGGAGAGGAAAGUGGAAUUCCUGGUGUAGCGGUGAAAUGCGUAGAUAUCAGGAGGNNNNCCGGUGGUGUAGACGGCUUUCUGGACCGUAACUGACGCUGAGACACGAAAGCGUGGGUAGCAAACAGGAUUAGAUACCCUAGUAGUCC